UACGGAGGGUGCGAGCGUUGUCCGGAAUCACUGGGCGUAAAGGGCGCGUAGGCGGCUCGGUAAGUAGGGGGUGAAAUCCUGCGGCUUAACCGCAGGGCUGCCUUCUAAACUGUCGAGCUCGAGCACGGUAGAGGCAGAUGGAAUUCCCGGUGUAGCGGUGGAAUGCGUAGAGAUCGGGAAGAACAUCAGUGGCGAAGGCGGUCUGCUGGGCCGUUGCUGACGCUGAGGCGCGACAGCGUGGGGAGCAAACGGG
rnacentral:rRNA from 1 species